UCCGUCGUCUCCGCCUCCGACGACCUGGCAAGCACUUCGACGCCGUUACUCAGGGCAGCAUAGAUCACGUCGGCGGCGGCUUCUCCUCGUGACGAGGAGGAUCCGCGACCGCGGCUGUCGUCGUGGAGGUCGAGGUUGAAGACGACUGGACGGACCGUAUGCUGAGAUGGCCACUGACGGACCAGUCAGCAUGAUGUUACCCUGUUUCGAUAGAUGAAUGAAGAAAUUAAGUGGUUCACUUUCUCAGGACAGAGGUCAGGCAGUACCGAAGCGGUGGUUCAGCCGCCACCGCCAGAUCUGGCGGUGUCGGGAAGGAGGCGAGGCGCUCCUACCAUCCGAUGUGGGCGGCGACAUCGAGAUACCUCGUCGGCAAGCCGAGAGAUCUGGCGUCGUCGUUGGCACCUCGCGAGGCGUUGACGUUUGAACUGUGGCGGUCCGCGUUGGUCAUUUGGCGGCGACAACGACAGUAAACCGGCGACGGGAAGCUGCAGGUGUACACCGGCAGCCUGGGCGACGCUGAACCUGGACACCGGCAGCGGCAACAAUGGCCGUCGAUCGUGUUCGCGGGUCGUAGCUCGGUCAGCGCGGCGCCGGGCGAGACGGUAUCAGAGGUCUCCGCCACCAACGGAUCCGCGUGCUACGACCCCAGCUGCAUCAACAACGGCGGCGGUAAAGGCAGGCUCAAGAUAGCUUCACGUCGAGGGCGAGGGAGAUCGGGCCGUGCUUGAUUCGCUCGGCCAGGAGGACGCCGGGCACACACGGGAGCCCAGAUCCGUACCAGAUGGCGACGGAUCUCAUCCUGACAAAGCGGCGCCGGCCUCCACCGCGCUCUACCUGUUCCCCUCGUCCAGCAGCACGACGAGGGCCACCUUCGCGGCCAGCCUUGCCGACGCCGCCUCCCGCACCGCGGCUACCACCCCUGCCGGCACCUGUCUCGCCACCGCCUCCAUCUCCCCGCUCGACUGUCUGCAGCGCCGUCACCACCUCCCCUGCCUCGAAUUUCUCCUUUGCGCUCAGCUGCUUGUCUGCCGCCCGCGCUCCGCUCUUGGGAGACGGGCACGAUGCCUGGGUGCUCGAAGUCGCGAGACGCUCCGUCAACCUCCGCCAGAGCAUGAAUACGGGUGAGUCCUCCCUCCUCAUGCACCCCAUGCCAACAGAAUAAUGCAGUGCGGAAUCGAAUCCUUAUCUGAGAAAUGUUACUUUCGAAUGUAUUCAUUGCAAAGUAAUUUGAGCUCUAGUUUGUCCUCAGACAAUUCAUGCGUAUGUGAGCUUGUAGCAUCUUUGUUUCAUGCAUGCAUGUGUUGUUUAGCAGCAGUAACUAAUUAAGUACACUAACUAAGUACAUGAUCGUCAGAUUCUCAGUUUUGAGCUUCCUUCCCCACUAGAUCUUGUGUUCUUGUGGCUGAUCUCAUUGGAUCUUUUGUAUUUACAUGAUCGGCUCACCUUGCAUCUGUGGGUUCCUUUCCCGGUCGAGAGCGGAGAAAACUUGCUGAUGGAGUCUGCCAAGCAUCGAUCUCUCUCCCCGGUCCGUGCGACUGCAAAAAGGUGGUACAUGUGUGAUAAAUGCAAUAUACGUGGGCAGUACAAGUGAUAUUUUAAUGAUGUUUUGUCAUUCUAUAUUACAAGCUUGAUGGUUUUGUGAUUUUUUUGUCUGCCUAGUGCACAGCAUCCCCUUCUUGCAAGCUUGUGCUUUUAAUUUAUUAUUUAUAAUUUAUAUCUGUGUUCCUAUA